AGGCUUAAUACUUAGAAAGUGCUAGAGCAGCCUCUAUUAGGGGAUCUCUUCUCUGAUUGUACUCCACUUGCUGUAACACCAAAGGAUGCAGAACCAGGUUCUGUAGCAGAAAUUGCUGGUGUCUGUGGCAGGGGAGGGCACCUGAGGACAGGGAAGAAGAAACAUAUUUUUAUCUUUAUGGAGCAGCACAUUGUUCCCAAAUACCUUCUGCUUUAAGGGACAGAAAUGGAUGGACUUUUUCUGUCUUUUCUGCCAGUUGAUGUCAUGCUUGCAGGUAAACAUGUGGUACUGACACCCUUAAAGGCAUAUUCUCAAGAGGCAGGUAAAAAACCAAUUCCAAAAAAGUAUUGCAACAAAAGGAAGCACCAAAUAACUAUAAUAUCUUUAUGGCUUGCAAAAAUAUAGGCAGAAAAGGGCUUUCUUUUCUAGGGAAGAGCAAACAAGAUUAGAAAGGAGGUGGGAGAGGAACAGCAAAUGGAGGGUGAAAAAGUCAGAUUUUAGAUCAGAGAAUGGCUUACCCUGAAAUCAGCAUGUUCUUAGGAGGGACAUAAAAUGGGGUUGUAUGUUGACUCAGACUGAGGGUAGCUUGAAUUUCAGGAGCCUGAGAGAAGAUAAACUUAAGUAAAAUUUGAUUAAGAAAUAUUUUAUUUUAGGCUGGGUGUGGUGGCUCAAGUCUGCAAUCCCAGCACUUUGGGAGGCUGAGGCAGGCGGAUCACCAGAGGUCAGGAGUUCAAGACCAGCCUGGCCAACAUGGUGAAACCCUGUCUACUAAAAAUACAAAAAUUAGCUGGGCGUUGUGGCAGGUGCCUGUAAUCCCAGAUACUUGGGAGGCUGAGGUAGGAAAAUUGCUUGAGCCCUGGAGGUGAAAGCUGAAGUGAGCCGAGAUGGCCCCACUACACUCCAGCCUGGGUGACAGAGUGACACUCCAUCUCAAAAAAAAAAAAAAUCAUAAUUGAUUUUGACUGCUGAAGGCAAAUUCAGCUGGUUUUUUGUUUUUUUUUUAAUGAGAAAAAGGAGAAAAUGUGCAGAGUGUAUGUCUGGCUGUGUGAUAGGCAAGAAAAGGGAGCAUCAUCUUAAUCAUAACGGGAAGAGUGUUUCUUUCCAUAAACUGUUCCUGAAGCACACAAAGGAAGGAGAAUUUUAUUAAUCACAAAUAUUUUUCAUAAUUAUCUAUGUGUUUCAUCUUUCCUCAUCUCUUUUCUUUGUUCUAUGCAUUUCUUCCACUUGGCUUUUCCUGGGCUGCAUCUUAUAUAUUAAACCAGUAAGCAUAACUACAGUGUUUUGCUGAGUUCUGUGAGUAGCUCUACCAAAUUACUGAGCUUCAGGGAAGUUAUGGGAGUCCCCAGUUUUUAAACAGUAGCUCAGAACCAUAGAUGGGCCCAUGGGAUUUAUGACUGGCAUCUGCAGUGAGAACAAUGUUGUGGGACCGAGCCCUGAAUCAGGGUCUGUGCUGACUCUGGGUAGUGUUAGAAAUCAAAUGUUAUACAAUAAGUUGGUGUUGGAGAAUUGUUUGAUGUUCAGCAAAUGCUACAGAUUUGGUGCCAGAAAGAAGAUAUCAUGGAGGCCUGGCCUGGAAUAAAACUCUGGGUGUUUGGGAAUGGGAGAUUCUGCUCUCCUGUACACAGAUUGUCACACUGCCCAUUGUCCUGUGAUUCCAGGUCUUCUCCCAGGGUGACAGAGGACUGAAAACUUACAGGAAAGGAGCUCUGAUGACACAUCCCCUUUUCUUGCAGCUGCCACCACAGGAUUCCCACAUACUCCCAAACACACACACUAGACAUUGACAUGUCCACACUCCUCCCAGGACUAGGCACCACCCUCAGUGACUUCACCAUGACAUUUUUGGUCCAAGCACUUCUAGCCAAAAAGCCAAAAGUAUCUACAAGUUUCCUUGCAUAUUCCCAUCCCCGGAUAUCGAAUCUGCAGCAGCAACCUGUUUUCUCCACCAGCCUAGGGUUCUGGCCCUCCUUUUCAUAAUCUCAUCUGCCUGCAUGCACACAGAAAUAAAUCAGAGUACAGCCCCACCUGGUCAACUAUCUGUAGCAAAAAUCUGUCCAUUCACUGACAUUGCACUCUCUCUCACCUGGGGAUUUUUUUUCUUUUUUUUUUUAAUUUAUUUUUUUUAUUGAUCAUUCUUGGGUGUUUCUCGCAGAGGGGGAUUUGGCAGGGUCAUAGGACAAUAGUGGAGGGAAGGUCAGCAGAUAAACAAGUGAACAAAGGUCUCUGGUUUUCCUAGGCAGAGGACCCUGCGGCCUUCCGCAGUGUUUGUGUCCCUGGGUACUUGAGAUUAGGGAGUGGUGAUGACUCUUAACGAGCAUGCUGCCUUCAAGCAUCUGUUUAACAAAGCACAUCUUGCACCACCCUUAAUCCAUUUAACCCUGAGUGGACACAGCACAUGUUUCAGAGAGCACAGGGUUGGGGGUAAGGUCAAGAGAUCAACAGAAUCCCAAGGCAGAAGAAUUUUUCUUAGUACAGAUCAAAAUGAAGUCUCCCAUGUAUACUUCUUUCUACACAGACACGGCAACCAUCCGAUUUCUCAAUCUUUUCCUCACCUUUCCCCCCUUUCUAUUCCACAAAACCGCCAUUGUCAUCAUGGCCCGUUCUCAAUGAGCUGUUGGGUACACCUCCCAGACGGGGUGGUGGCCUGGCAGAGGCGCCCCUCACCUCCCGGACGGGGUGGCUGGCCGGGCUGGGGGCUGACCCCCCCCACCUCCCUCCCGGACGGGGCGGCUGGCCGGGCGGGGGGCUGACCCCCACCUCCCUCCCGGAUGGGGCGGCUGGCCGGGCGGGGGGCUGACCCCCCCCACCUCCCUCCCGGACGGGGUGGCUGCCGGGCGGAGACGCUCCUCACUUCCCAGACAGGGCGGUGGGGCAGAGGCGCUCCCCACAUCUCAGACGAUGGGUGGCCAGGCAGAGACGCUCCUCACUUCCCAGAUGUGAUGGCGGCCGGGAAGAGGCGCUCCUCACUUCCUAGAUGGGAUGGUGGCCAGGCAGAGACGCUCCUCACUUUCCAGACUGGGCAGCCAGGCAGAAGGGCUCCUCACAUCCCAGAUGAUGGGCGGCCAGGCAGAGACGCUCCUCACUUCCCAGAUGGGGUGGCGACCGGGCAGAGGCUGCAAUCUCGGCAUUUUGGGAAGCCAAGGCAGGCGGCUGGGAGGUGGAGGUUGUAGCGAGCCAAGAUCACGCCACUGCACUCCAGCCUGGGCACCAUUGAGCACUGAGUGAACCAGACUCCGUCUGCAAUCCCGGCACCUCGGGAGGCCGAGGCUGGCGGAUCACUCGCGGUUAGGGGCUGGAGACCGGCCCGGCCAACACAGCGAAACCCCGUCUCCACCAAAAAAACACGAAAACCAGUCAGGCGUGGCGGCGCGCGCCUGCAAUCACAGGCACUCGGCAGGCUGAGGCAGGAGAAUCAGGCAGGGAGGCUGCAGUGAGCUGAGAUGGCAGCAGUACAGUCCAGCUUCGGCUCGGCAUCAGAGGGAGACCGUGGAAAGAGAGGGAGAGGGAGACCCUGGGGAGAGGGAGACGGAGACGGAGAGGGAGAGGGAGGGGGAGGCGGAGGGAGAGGGAGAGGGGAUUUGUUUUUCUUUUAGCUUUUAUUUUUGGUUCCGGGUACACAUGUGGGUUUGUUAUACAGCUAAAAUUAUGUCAUGGGGAUUUGGUGUGCCGAUUAUUUUGUCACUGAGGUACUACCCAUAGCACCAAACAAUUAUGUUUUCUGAUCUUCUGAGUCCUUCUACCCUCCAGCCUCAACUAGGCCUGUGUCUGUUCUUCUCUUUGUGUUCUGUGUUCUUACUUCUUAGCUCUUAUUUAUAAAUUAUAACAUGCAUUUGGUUUUGUGUUUCCGCAUUAGUUUUCUUUUUUUGUUGUUUUUUUGUUUGUUUGUUUUGAAAGGGAGUUUUGCUCUUGUUGUCCAGGCUGGAGAGCCAUGGUAACAUCUUGGCUCAUCAAAACAUUCGUAUCCUGGGUUCAAGCGGUUCUCCUGCCUCAGCCUCCCCAGUAGCUGGGGUUACAGGCAGGCACCACCAUGCCUAGCUAAUUUUGUAUUUUUAGUAGAGACAGGGUUAAUCCAUGUUGGUCAGGCUAGUCUCAAACUCCCAACCUCAGGUGGUUCGCCCACCUCGGCCUCCCAAAGUGUUAGCAUUACAGGCAUGAGCCACCAUGUCCAGCCUCUGCAUUCAUUUUCUAAGAAUAAUGGUCUCCAGAUUCAUCUAUGUUAUUGCAAAGGACAUGAUUUUUUUUAAAUAGCUACCCAGUAUUUUGUAAUGUUUAUAUACCAUAUUUUGUUUUUACUAAAUCUUUUAUUUUAUUUUAUUUUUGGAGACAGGCUUAUUGCCUAGGCUACAGUGCCAGGGCAUGAUAUUGGCUUACUUUAGCCACAAUCUCCCAGGCUCAAGCAAUUCUCUCCUACCUCAUCUUCCCUUGUAGCUGGGACUACAUACGUGCAUUACCAUAACUGGGCAAUUUUAUAUAUUUUUUUUUUCCGGGGAGACAAGAUUUUGUCUUGUUGCCCAGGCUGGUCUCAAACUUCUAAGCUCAGGCAACCCACCUGCCAUGGCCUCCCAAAGUGCUGGGAUUAUAGGCAUGAGCCACAACAUCUGACCAUACCAUAUUUUCUUUAUCUAGUCUAUCAUUGGUAGGCAUUUAGUGCCUGUCCGUGUCUUUGCUAUUGUGAAUAGUGCUACAGUGAACAUGCAUAUAGAUGUGUCUUUGUAAUAUAAUAAUUUAUAUUUCUUUGGGUAUAUACCCAAUUAUGAGGUUGCUGGGUCAAAUGAUAAUUCUGUUUCUAGUUCUGUGAGGAAUCGCCACACUGCUUUUUACAGUUGUUGAACUAAUUUACACUCUCACCAGCAGAGUAUAAGCAUUCCCUUUUCUCUGCAACCUUGCCAGCAUCUAUUAUUUUUUGACUUUUUAAAAAUAGCCAUUCUGAUGGGUGUGAUGCGGUAUCUCAUUGUGGUUUUUCUUUUAAUUUCUCUAAUAAUUAGCAAUGAGCAUUUUUUUCACAUGCUUGUUAACUGCACAUUUGUCUUCUUUUGAAAAGAAUAUGUUCAUGUUUUUCUUUUCUACUUUUAAUGAGGUUAUUUGUUUUUUUUCUUGUAAACUUGUUUGAGCUCUUAAUAAAUUCUGGAUAUUAGUCCUCUGUCAGAGGCAAUGUUUGCA
rnacentral:lncRNA from 1 species